UGGGGAAUUUUGGACAAUGGGCGCAAGCCUGAUCCAGCCAUGCCGCGUGUCUGAAGAAGGCCUUCGGGUUGUAAAGGACUUUUGUCAGGGAAGAAAAGGAUAGGGUUAAUACCCCUGUCUGAUGACGGUACCUGAAGAAUAAGCACCGGCUAACUACGUGCCAGCAGCCGCGGUAAUACGUAGGGUGCGAGCGUUAAUCGGAAUUACUGGGCGUAAAGCGGGCGCAGACGGUUACUUAAGCAGGAUGUGAAAUCCCCGGGCUCAACCUGGGAACUGCGUUCUGAACUGGGUGACUAGAGUGUGUCAGAGGGGGGUAGAAUUCCACGUGUAGCAGUGAAAUGCGUAGAGAUGUGGAGGAAUACCGAUGGCGAAGGCAGCCUCCUGGGAUAACACUGACGUUCAUGCCCGAAAGCGUGGGUAGCAAACAGGAUUAGAUACCCUGGUAGUCCACGCCCUAAACGAUGUCGAUUAGCUGUUGGGCAGCUUGACUGCUUAGUAGCGAAGCUAACGCGUGAAAUCGACCGCCUGGGGAGUACGGUCGCAAGAUUA
rnacentral:rRNA from 1 species